CUUAUUUGAUAUCUGAUUAUGAUUAUGGAUCAAUCUUAUUUUGUAAGGAUUAAAUAGGUUGUUGACUCAACUUUACAGUAGACUAGUAAAACUCGCAAAAAAAGUUUUACUACUAGUAGUACUACUAGUCAGUCCAUUCAUUUUACAAGGUUAAGCCAUUUAUACCCACACUCUUCGAGGAUUGAGCCGUAACUACAGUAGUCGUGGUGGUGUGGUGAAUGAGGUGUCCGCCUAGCGAUCGGGAGUUCGUGGGUUCGCUCCCCACUCGGGGAGCGUUCUCAUUAUCUCCUCCAUAGACACCUAGUACUGGUUCUUUCCAGGAAACGGACUCGAUAAUGUCCCUCUGCCUAUAAUGCUCUAAAGGGCGCUUGGCAGUAUAGAUAGGUAGGUAGGUAGGUAGGCAGGCAGGCAGGCAGGCAGGCAGGCAGGCAGGCAGGCAGGCAGGCAGGCAGGCAGGCAGGCAGGCAGGCAGGCAGGCAGGCAGGCAGGCAGGCAGGCAGGCAGGCAGGCAGGCAGGCAGGCAGGCUGCAGGCAGGCAGGCAGGCAGGCAGACAGGCAGGCAGGCAGGCAGGCAGGUAGGUAGGUACACAGGUGGUUAGCGUGUGGCUAUGAUAUUGAUUAGUGAAAACAUCAUUUUGAAUGAUAAAUAAUCAUAUUAUAACGAAAAAUUAACUUUUCUGAAAAAAAAUAUUUCACUAUCAAAUAUAUAUAUAACAAGGUAUGCAACUCAAAAUCAGCCCAAAACGGGGUGCAUCGCUUUGAACAGCCAUAUCUGCAUCAAUUGUGCAGCGAUUUUCACGAUCUUGAUCUUAUUCAACGCAAAAAUGAAAUUCCUUUCUGGAAAUGUAUAUGUCUUGCAAUAUUUUACAAAUGCUGGGUCAACUUUUAGAUAUAACACGAUACACAACUCGCAUGACCCUGUUUUGAAUGACAUUUCAUAUGUGAAUUUCAAUCCGAGGACCUACUGUCUAAGAAGUUUACGGCGACGAUCGGGAGCUACAGCAACAACAACAGUCUCCGGCAGUCAUAGUGCAGUAGUGACGUGCCAAGGCAUCAUACCAGAGAUCGAGAUUCUAGACAGCGAGGACGAAGAAAUACAAAGCGCUUUACUAGAUUCAAUGCAACACCAGGAACCAAGUACCAUAAGCGAUGAUUCCACAGAGCCGUCUGUGGCUGAUAUCUUACAAGAGUUUUGGAACCGAUACAUCAAAGAUGACCGCACACACUGUGUGAUCUCCUGUUCGAAGCCGUUAGAUAUUGCCAUACUACUAUUAGAAAAGACGACGGUCAAGCUUCAAAAUAAAUUGUUUGUCAAGUUUUCUGGGCAGAUUGGUGGGGACCAUAGUGGACCAAGAAGGGAAUUUUUUCCGAUUGGCCUCCAAGGUUCAAAAUGUUUUGAAGGACCAGAUCGAGCAAAAGUUUUCAGACAUGAUCUUCAACUUGUGGAAUGUCAUUCGCGCAGGACGGACCAGGUUUUCACUGCUUGAACAAGCAGCUUUUUGCAAUGAUGAUGGGUUGUGAAGGGGAGACAACUGCUGCUGAUGAAAUCACGGACCCCAAUAUUUAGGAAUGUCUUGAAAUGUUGGAGAAAAUCACCGACGUUCAGAAAAGGGAUCAGUUCUUGGCAAAGUUCGGGGACUGGCUGGCUGACAGAGGGAUCAACCCUUCUAGACUGGCCGUGGCGGACAAGGGGUCCAUGAAGGAGAUGGUGAUAAAGUACCACGUCUUAUAUAGAAUAUCAUCCGAGAUUGCCCAAUUUAAGGAUGGCAUGGAUGACGUAUGCGGCAUGUGGGGGAUGGUAACAAAACAUGCCAGUGUAUUCCAACCGCUGUUUUGAAAUCUUUCUAAACCUCUAAUGAAACAGGAGAUGGACAGAAUCAUUCGAUAUGAUUUCAGUGAGCUCGGAUCUAAUGCCAGGACAUUUUAAGAUGAGACUGUCUACGCAUGGGGGCUCUUUUUGCAGGACAUUGAAGAUGGAAUUGUUCCAACAACAAGGGAAGAAUUGCUGUCGUUCAUUUCCGGAGCAUCCAGUAUUCCCUCCUUGGGCUUUAAAAAGCCGAUUGAAAUGCAUUUUUAUAUGCAAGAAGACUGAGUGACCCGUCUCCCAUAUGCAUCAACAUGUUCUCUGGACUUGUGGUUGCCUAGAGGACAGAAACCAGAGAGAUUAUCUACCCUUCUAUUGAAGAGUGUAAAUGAGUCAAUGGGAUUUGUUAAAAUAUGAAAAUCGCUACACAAAAACGGGUUAAACUACAAAAAACACACUAUUAGUCUAUUUAUGCCCCCAGAACCUCCUAUGUUCUGGGGGCAUAUUAAAAUCGCACCGUUUGUUAGUCCGUCCGGAUUAGUUUCCACGCAAUAAAUCAAGGAGUUUUCAUCUGAUUUUCACCAAACUUGGUCAGAAGUUGUAUCUAGAUAAUGUCAAUGCCAAGUUCGAAGAAGGGUCAUGCCAGGUCAAAAACUAACUACGUAGUGGCUUUUAAACAUUCAGCAUGGUUUCCGCUCAAUAAGUCAAGUAGUUUUCAUCUGAUCUUCACCAAACGUGGUCAGAAGUUGUAUCUAUAUGAUCUCAAGGCCAAGUUGAGAUAUGGGUCAUGCCGGGUUAAAAACUAGGUCACCGGGUCACUUAGUGCAUUUGUAAUAUUCAGCAUGGUGUCCGCUAGGUAAUUCAAGUAGUUUUCAUUCGAUCUUCACCAAACUUGAUCAGAAGUUGUAUCUAGAUGAUGUCUAGGCCAAGUUCGCAGAAUGGUCAUGUCAGUUCAUUUUAUUGCAUUUUUCUAUCACUUUAAUUUUGUAUUUUUUCCAAACAGCGUACGAAAGUGCGUAUUUGCGUAUGCCCAGCUACGCCCAUGUCAGUGCAAAUAAAAGUGUUAAAAGUGUAAAAGAUAAAAGUGUGUUAGAUUUAUUAUAAGGUGAAGUGAUUUAAGGUUAAAAAAUGAUGUCUCCCGGAGUUCAAGGGGCAGAAGUAGUCUUAUUUAUAAAACGCGGAAAGAAUUUAGAGAUACUUUUUAUAUGGGCUAAAUUCUCAUCAGGGAAAAGUUAAAAAUGUGUUGGAAACCAGAAAAUUUAAAUUUUCAUCAAUUUGCGUAAAAUUGCAAAAUAACAUUACCAACUUAUUCAGUUUUAGUUCAGAAGUCCAUUUUUACCUCAAAUAUCGUCGAAUUGAAGUUGGAAAGGCAUAAAUUCUUCAGUUAAACUUCUGCUUAAAUCGCAAAACAAUCACUGACCUGUAGCCAUGUCAUGAAACUGAUUUAAAUAUGAACCAAUUAGAAGAAGGCAUUACGGUGUAACGUGUACGCGUACUUUUAUUUAACAUGAGCAUUUAACACCGACUUUUACCUCACUAGAUCUAGUAUGCUAAUCUUUGUCGAUUUAAUAAGCAUAUGUUCAAAACAGAUAUGGUACAGUUUCUAUUGACUCUUCUUCGUUUCAGCAAGGUUUUAUGCAUGUCUUUUUCGCACCUCUGUCUGUGUUGUUUUAUGUACUUACAUUCUUCGUGACAUAGG